rnacentral:rRNA from 1 species
CAGCCGCCACGGUAAUACCGGCGGCCCGAGUGGCGGUCACUAUUAUUGGGCUUAAAACGUCCGUAGCCGGGUUGGGAAGUCCUCCGGGAAAUCUGGCCGCUUAACGGUCAGAAUGCCGGAGGAUACUCCCAGCCUAGGGAGCGGGAGAGGCCGAGGGGAUUCCCGGAGUAGGGGUGAAAUCCUAUAAUCCCGGGAGGACCACCUGUGGCGAAGGCGCUCGGCUGGAACGCGUCCGACGGUGAGGGACGAAGGCCAGGGGAGCAAACCGGAUUAGAUACCCGGGUAGUCCUGGCUGUAAACGAUGCGGACUUUGUGUCGGACAAGCUAUGAGCUUGUCCGGUGCCGGAGGGAAACCGUUAAGUCCGCCGCCUGGGGAGUACGGCCGCAAGGCUGAAACUUAAAGGAAUUGGCGGG